rnacentral:rRNA from 1 species
UCCGUUUGGGUGGAUAAAAAGCCCCCAGGAAUGUAGCUCCCUCUGGGGAGUCUUAUUGGCUUGGGGGGAGAGGAGCCUGGCGGACCCGAGAAACGGAUUCGGCUAGAUGAGGCGUAAUGUAUUAUUUUUUUGAAAACCACAAUAGGGAGGAAAAGAAACCAACAGGGAUUACCUCAGUAACGGCGAGUGAAGCGGUAACAGCUCAAAUUUGAAAUCUGGCCUCACGGUCCGAGUUGUAAUUUGUAGAGGAUGCUUCGAGCAUGGUCUGGCCUAAGUUCCUUGGAACAGGACGUCAUAGAGGGUGAGAAUCCCGUAUGCGGCCAGGUGCCUACGCUCAUGUGAAGCUCCUUCGACGAGUCGAGUUGUUUGGGAAUGCAGCUCAAAAUGGGUGGUAAAUUUCAUCUAAAGCUAAAUAUUGGCCAGAGACCGAUAGCGCACAAGUAGAGUGAUCGAAAGAUGAAAAGCACUUUGGAAAGAGAGUUAAACAGUACGUGAAAUUGUUGAAAGGGAAGCGCUUGCAACCAGACUUGCGCGCGGCCGAUCAUCCGGUGUUCUCACCGGUGCACUCGGCCGUGCUCAGGCCAGCAUCGGUUUUGGCGGCUGGAUAAAGGCCCUAGGAAUGUAGCUCCUCUCGGGGAGUGUUAUAGCCUAGGGUGCAAUGCAGCCUGCUGGGACCGAGGACCGCGCUCGGCUAGGUGGACAGCGAACGCCAAAAUCGGG